GAUGAACGCUGGCGGCGUGCCUAAUACAUGCAAGUCGAGCGAACAGACGAGGAGCUUGCUCCUCUGACGUUAGCGGCGGACGGGUGAGUAACACGUGGAUAACCUACCUAUAAGACUGGGAUAACUUCGGGAAACCGGAGCUAAUACCGGAUAAUAUAUUGAACCGCAUGGUUCAAUAGUGAAAGACGGUUUUGCUGUCACUUAUAGAUUGAUCCGCGCCGCAUUAGCUAGUUGGUAAGGUAACGGCUUACCAAGGCAACGAUGCGUAGCCGACCUGAGAGGGUGAUCGGCCACACAGGAACUGAGACACGGUCCAGAAUCCUACGGGAGGCAGCAGUAGGGAAUCUUCCGCAAUGGGCGAAAGCCUGACGGAGCAAAGCCGCGUGAGUGAUGAAGGUCUUCGGAUCGUAAAACUCUGUUAUUAGGGAAGAACAAAUGUGUAAGUAACUAUGCACGUCUUGACGGUACCUAAUCAGAAAGCCACGGCUAACUACGUG
rnacentral:rRNA from 1 species